rnacentral:rRNA from 1 species
UGGGGAAUCUUGCACAAUGGGGGCAACCCUGAUGCAGCGACGCCGCGUGAGCGAUGAAGCCCUUCGGGGCGUAAAGCUCUUUCGACCGGAACGAUAAUGACGGUACCGGGAGAAGAAGCUGCGGCUAACUACGUGCCAGCAGCCGCGGUAAUACGUAGGCAGCAAGCGUUGUUCGGAGUUACUGGGCGUAAAGAGUGCGUAGGCGGUUUUCUAAGUUCGGUGUGAAAUCUCCCGGCUUAACUGGGAGGGUGCGCCGAAGACUGGGAAGCUGGAGUGUGGGAAAGGCAGGCGGAAUUCCUGGUGUAGCGGUGGAAUGCGUAGAUAUCAGGAGGAACACCGGCGGUGUAGACGGCUUGCUAGACCAUAACUGGCGCUGAGGCACGAAAGCGUGGGUAGCAAACA